rnacentral:rRNA from 1 species
ACACAUGCAAGUCGAACGGUAACAGGGAGCAGCUUGCUGCUUCGCUGACGAGUGGCGGACGGGUGAGUAAUGUCUGGGAAACUGCCUGAUGGAGGGGGAUAACUACUGGAAACGGUAGCUAAUACCGCAUAACGUCGCAAGACCAAAGAGGGGGACCUUCGGGCCUCUUGCCAUCGGAUGUGCCCAGAUGGGAUUAGCUAGUAGGUGGGGUAACGGCUCACCUAGGCGACGAUCCCUAGCUGGUCUGAGAGGAUGACCAGCCACACUGGAACUGAGACACGGUCCAGACUCCUACGGGAGGCAGCAGUGGGGAAUAUUGCACAAUGGGCGCAAGCCUGAUGCAGCCAUGCCGCGUGUGUGAAGAAGGCCUUCGGGUUGUAAAGCACUUUCAGCGGGGAGGAAGGCGGUAAGGUUAAUAACCUUACCGAUUGACGUUACCCGCAGAAGAAGCACCGGCUAACUCCGUGCCAGCAGCCGCGGUAAUACGGAGGGUGCAGGCGUUAAUCGGAAUUACUGGGCGUAAAGCGCACGCAGGCGGUCUGUCAAGUCGGAUGUGAAAUCCCCGGGCUCAACCUGGGAACUGCAUUCGAAACUGGCAGGCUAGAGUCUUGUAGAGGGGGGUAGAAUUCCAGGUGUAGCGGUGAAAUGCGUAGAGAUCUGGAGGAAUACCGGUGGCGAAGGCGGCCCCCCUGGACAAAGACUGACGCUCAGGUGCGAAAGCGUGGGGAGCAAACAGGAUUAGAUACCCUGGUAGUCCACGCCGUAAACGAUGUCGACUUGGAGGUUGUGCCCUUGAGGCGUGGCUUCCCGGAGCUAACGCGUUAAGUCGACCGCCUGGGGGAGUACGGCCGCAAGGUUAAAACUCAAUGAAUUUGACGGGGCCCGCACAAGCGGUGG